rnacentral:rRNA from 1 species
AGUGAACGCUGGCGGUAGGCCUAACACAUGCAAGUCGAACGGCAGCACAGUAAGAGCUUGCUCUUACGGGUGGCGAGUGGCGGACGGGUGAGGAAUACAUCGGAAUCUACUUUUUCGUGGGGGAUAACGUAGGGAAACUUACGCUAAUACCGCAUACGACCUACGGGUGAAAGCAGGGGAUCUUCGGACCUUGCGCGAUUGAAUGAGCCGAUGUCGGAUUAGCUAGUUGGCGGGGUAAAGGCCCACCAAGGCGACGAUCCGUAGCUGGUCUGAGAGGAUGAUCAGCCACACUGGAACUGAGACACGGUCCAGCCUCCUGCGGGACGCAGCAGUGGGGAAUAUUGGACAAUGGGCGCAAGCCUGAUCCAGCCAUCCCGCGUGGGUGAAGAAGGCCUUCGGGUUGUAAAGCCCUUUUGUUGGGAAAGAAAAGCAGCAGGUUAAUACCCCGCUGUUCUGACGGUACCCAAAGAAUAAGCACCGGCUAACUUCGUG